UAUGUGUAAGUGAAAGGACCAAGACUAAGAAAGAGAUUUUAAAUAGUGUUCUUUUAGAAGUUUUUAGAAGUUUUAUUUAUAUGUUAAAAUAGAAAAUAUAAUUACAUAUGUUCAAAUCAAUCUAAUGGUUUUUGUACAAAAUAAUAACCCUGGAUAUGCUGCUGUACCUACUAUCGUAUGGUCCAGGUAGUUGGAGUUUGAAGUAAAAUAAACAAAAGUUUCAAUAUUAUUUAAAAAUAUAUUAUACAAUGAAUUCUCUACUACAACACUGCUUGUACUUAUAAAUUACAGGACUUAUAAAUAAAAACGUGUAUAAUGUCGCCUGUACGCACUUUGAUAUAUUUUUUGCUAUCGAUAAAUACAACGAAUCGUCAGAAAAAAAGGAUGGCAAUACUAGUGUGAUACCACUUCAAUUUCUAGUAGCCAAAGGCGCUUAGCACCAAGCGGGCGGUACUCUUGAUGUUACAUAAGGCAUUCGACUUUCGAUUAUUUUACUUUAUUGCUCAUGUUUAUUAUACAGGGAGUUUGAUGGACGUAUUGGAUACAUGGACACGUUUCGUGAACUUAUGAUACUUAUUUCUACAGGCACUACAGACUUGGAAAUAGUAAGACGUGAUCUUAUUCUAACAAGUAGGUAUAUAGCAGCUACUGUGAGGAUAUGUCAGACGAUACACGCAAAGUAAAUGAGAUCAGCAACUUGGUCUAACACCGAUAAUAUAAUAAGGUUAGAUGGGGGUAACAGAAACACUGGGGCAAAAGAACUGUUUCUCUUGCCCCGAGCAUAAUAAACUAUGUCUCUUACCCCACAUGACCUUAAAUAUGUGAUUAUUGAGUAAAUAAAUCUCUAAACACAUUUGUUAACACUUAACACUAAGUAUAAAUUAUUUUAGUAAAUAUCUGAAGUAAUAACCUUCGUCUUAUGCUAAUUAGGCAUCUAGGAAAUUAACAUGAAUAUCACUAGUAAUCCGUCGUUUAAUAUUGGUGUUUGUUAUCAGCCUUUAGAUGUGAUUGGCGUCAGUGACUAAUUGACUAUUUAGAAAUCGCCGCUACUUUGAAUUAUGCCGCAAUUA